rnacentral:lncRNA from 1 species
UUUUACUCAUUUUUUACUUUAUCGCUCUGUGAUUGAAAAUAUUGCAUUUUAACUAUUCUAUGGUUUAGCUUACUUUUUCUUUACCAUCUGCAUGCAGUUGAAAUAGUUAUACUUAAUUAUUCUAGAGUUUUCAAAGAAUUUUACUUUGUUAUCAUAUUUAAUAGUAGAUAUUUUAUACAGAUAGAGAUAAGGUUACAGAAUAGUUAUAUAUAGUUUUUUGAAUCACAGAAUAGCAAAGUGAAACAGAGCUAAAUCACAUAGGAGGCCCACAUCGUCCUAACCGUAUUUUUUUUCAUCAAAGAGCGGAAACCUAAUAGUACCAAGGUCUCUCUCUCUCUCUCUCUCUCUAUAUAUAUAUAUAGAGUUGAGCUAGAAUACUAUCGGUAGGAAACAGGCUCCGUUGCCACCCAUUUGUUUUCGAUGAUGGAGCCUCCAAAUCGACGAUCGGCACCGUUGAACAUGAUCUAUACCAUUUGAAGUAUCUAGAAAUCAAAUUUCAAACCUUUUCGACAUCAUUGAUCUAAUGAUCAAAGGAUUUCAAAAUUUGUAAUUUUAAUGGUCGAUAUGAGGUAUUUUCUCGUUUAACGGUGUAAAGCUAUCCAAAUCAAUUGAAUUUUGGUUAGAAAAUUCUUUAAACUAUUUAGAACAAGAUCUAUACUCUCGAUCUUGAUUACAAAAUUCCUAUUAUUACUUUUUAGAGGAUAUUCAUUUUCAGCCGUUUAUUUUUACGCCCACUUGAUAGACAAGAUAACAAUAUCGGAAAAGCAUGAAAUUUGAUUUCUAUAUACUUCAAGUGGUAUAGA